GGGGUAAGAAAUUUAAGAAUAUUUUGGUAAUGUUCUUAAAAUUAUUACACUAUCUUUUUUUAAUAUAUGUAACUUCAAAGUUAAAUAGCAAACAGUAAGAUUAUAUGUUACAUUUAUUAUAGUUAAUUCAAAAUCUUUCUUGCAUUGCGUUCUUUGAGCAAUUAAAAGGAAAAGUAGCGAGCUUCAAGGAAGAUUUGUUUAUUGAUUUUCUGACAGAACUUGUUGCAUUAACUAACUUUUUAGAGUGCGUUAUUAAGUAACUUACAAUAUGAGUGCAGAUUUGUAUAAGAAUAUUAAGAACCUGUGCCGUACUUGUAUGUCAGCAGAAAGCAAUUUAACUUCUUUAUUUGCUGUUUUGAGUUUAGCAAAUAAAGAAGAACCACUUUAUUCUAUUUUGUACAAGUGUACGUCAAUUGAGAUAUUCGACAGUGAUAUGUUACCGAAUAAUAUUUGCAUUAGUUGUCUGGAAAAAUUAGCAAUAUGUUACUUAUACAGAGAACUUUGUUACGAUACACAGAACAGACUGCAACAGCUAUGUCAAUCCCAAAAGGAUUUGUAUCCUUAUGUACCUGAGAUACCUGAAACUACUAGUAAUGAAUUAGAUCAAAUCGAUUCAACUGAUUUUAGCCAGGUCAAUUUAAGCUACUUAACAGAGGACAGAGAAUUAGUUUCAGCGAAUGAUAACUUGCCAGAAGUCGAUGGCACUAUAGAUAAGGAACCUUUAAGUCAGUCAUGUGAUUCUUCUGAUUUUUUGAGCUGUGAAAAAACAAAUUCCUUCGUUGAGACUGAGGAGGAAAAAAGUAAUUCUAAUUCUAAAGGUGAAAAUGUAGAAAAUAAAGGUAAAUUUUCUUGUGAGAUUUGUUCGAAAACUUUAAAUUCAGAAUAUUUAUUGAAUAAGCACAUAAAGAGUCAUUCGAAUGGUGAGAAACUGAAAUGUCAUAUCUGUAUGAGAAAGUUUACCAGAGCUACUGAUGUUCAGCGUCACAUGUUGACACAUACUGGAGAUAAACCAUUUUCCUGCUUUAUUUGCCAGCGCUCUUUUACACAGUCUGGCACAUUGACGGCUCAUCUGAGGAAACAUAGUGGUUAUGAAAACUACAAAGCACCUAAAAAGAAACGACGUGAUCCAUAUUUGUGUUCAAUAUGUGGGAAAUCAUUCACACACUCUUCCACACUUACUAUUCACAUAAGGAGACAUGUUGGGGACAAACCUUACGGUUGUGAUGUUUGUCAAUUAAAAUUUGUAUCUAGUGGCAGGUUAAAAUCGCAUAUGAGGGUUCAUACUGGGGAGAGGCCUUUUGUUUGUGAAAUUUGCAAGAAAUCAUUUGCUCAUUCGGCAGCUAUAUCCAGGCAUAUCAAGGCUCAUAUUGGAGAAAAUGUACAUCCUUGUGGGUAUUGUGGCAAAGAAUUUACAACAACUUAUUGUUUAAAUAUCCAUAUCAGGCAACACACUGGCGAAAGACCAUUGAAAUGCAAAGUGUGCAAUAAAGCUUUUGGCGAUCCUAAAAAUUUAAAACAACAUGAAAAAACCCAUUCUGAUGAGAAGCCAUAUUUGUGUAUGGAGUGUGGAAAAAGGUUCAGAAGGAAAUACCACUUGAAAACGCACACGAAACUACAUAAUAAGGAUUAAGAAUACCUUUUUCAUGAAGUACAUACAAUAAUAUAAAUGUUGUUAUAUGUUUAAUAGAAUAAGGAAUAUACAAGGUAUACGGUGCAUCAGAAGCCCAUUAUCACCUACCAAAAA
rnacentral:misc_RNA from 1 species